rnacentral:rRNA from 1 species
GACGAACGCUGGCGGCGUGCUUAACACAUGCAAGUCGAACGGAAAGGCCCUGCUUUUGUGGGGUGCUCGAGUGGCGAACGGGUGAGUAACACGUGAGUAACCUGCCCUUGACUUUGGGAUAACUUCAGGAAACUGGGGCUAAUACCGGAUAGGAGCUCCUGCUGCAUGGUGGGGGUUGGAAAGUUUCGGCGGUUGGGGAUGGACUCGCGGCUUAUCAGCUUGUUGGUGGGGUAGUGGCUUACCAAGGCUUUGACGGGUAGCCGGCCUGAGAGGGUGACCGGCCACAUUGGGACUGAGAUACGGCCCAGACUCCUACGGGAGGCAGCAGUGGGGAAUAUUGCACAAUGGGCGGAAGCCUGAUGCAGCAACGCCGCGUGCGGGAUGACGGCCUUCGGGUUGUAAACCGCUUUCGCCUGUGACGAAGCGUGAGUGACGGUAAUGGGUAAAGAAGCACCGGCUAACUACGUGCCAGCAGCCGCGGUGAUACGUAGGGUGCGAGCGUUGUCCGGAUUUAUUGGGCGUAAAGGGCUCGUAGGUGGUUGAUCGCGUCGGAAGUGUAAUCUUGGGGCUUAACCCUGAGCGUGCUUUCGAUACGGGUUGACUUGAGGAAGGUAGGGGAGAAUGGAAUUCCUGGUGGAGCGGUGGAAUGCGCAGAUAUCAGGAGGAACACCAGUGGCGAAGGCGGUUCUCUGGGCCUUUCCUGACGCUGAGGAGCGAAAGCGUGGGGAGCGAACAGGCUUAGAUACCCUGGUAGUCCACGCUGUAAACGGUGGGUACUAGGUGUGGGGUCCAUUCCACGGGUUCCGUGCCGUAGCUAACGCUUUAAGUACCCCGCCUGGGGAGUACGGCCGCAAGGCUAAAACUCAAAGGAAUUGACGGGGCCCCGCACAAGCGGCGGAGCAUGCGGAUUAAUUCGAUGCAACGCGUAGAACCUUACCUGGGUUUGACAUGGAUCGGGAGCGCUCAGAGAUGGGUGUGCCUCUUUUGGGGUCGGUUCACAGGUGGUGCAUGGCUGUCGUCAGCUCGUGUCGUGAGAUGUUGGGUUAAGUCCCGCAACGAGCGCAACCCUUGUUCACUGUUGCCAGCACGUUAUGGUGGGGACUCAGUGGAGACCGCCGGGGUCAACUCGGAGGAAGGUGGGGAUGACGUCAAGUCAUCAUGCCCCUUAUGUCCAGGGCUUCACGCAUGCUACAAUGGCUGGUACAGAGAGUGGCGAGCCUGUGAGGGUGAGCGAAUCUCGGAAAGCCGGUCUCAGUUCGGAUUGGGGUCUGCAACUCGACCUCAUGAAGUCGGAGUCGCUAGUAAUCGCAGAUCAGCAACGCUGCGGUGAAUACGUUCCCGGGGCUUGUACACACCGCCCGUCAAGUCAUGAAAGUUGGUAACACCCGAAGCCGGUGGCCUAACCGUUGUGGGGGAGCCGUCGAAGGUGGGACUGGUGAUUAGG